rnacentral:rRNA from 1 species
GAACGCUGGCGGCGUGCCUAAUACAUGCAAGUCGAACGGCUUUUCUAUGGAAGCUUGCUUCCACUGAGAAGAUAGUGGCGAACGGGUGAGUAACACGUGGGGUAACCUGCCCAUAAGAGGGGGGAUAACAUCCGGAAACGGGUGCUAAUACCGCAUAGUUUUCUUGAUCGCAUGAUUGAGAAAGGAAAGACGGCCUUUGUGCUGUCGCUUAUGGAUGGACCCGCGGCGUAUUAGUUAGUUGGUGAGGUAAUGGCUCACCAAGACGAUGAUACGUAGCCGACCUGAGAGGGUGAUCGGCCACAUUGGGACUGAGACACGGCCCAAACUCCUACGGGAGGCAGCAGUAGGGAAUCUUCCGCAAUGGACGAAAGUCUGACGGAGCAACGCCGCGUGAGUGAAGAAAAGGUUUUCGGAUCGUAAAACUCUGUUGUCAGAGAAGAACAAGUUGGAGAGUAACUGCUCCAGCCUUGACGGUAUCUGACCAGAAAGCCACGGCUAACUACGUGCCAGCCGCUGC